AGGGGAAACAUUUAAUACAUCAGUACAUUCAUACUUGAUUAUGUACUUGUCCUCACAGAAAACAUUCUGCAGCGCGUCAUUAGCACCUUGAAGUUCAGCUGGGUGUUCGUCCAGUCCCUUCUUGAUGACGUGACGGGCGGCCUGAACUCAUUCUGUAAAGACAGCCUGGACAUUUCCAAGGUGCUGUGCUUCGAGAGAGCGUUGCUCAGCCAGCAGCAGAAGAAGGGCAAAGAGGUGAGCCAAGAGAGCGUGAAGCAGUUUUAUGAUACCUGGCUGUCCCGUCAGAACACACUCUCAUCUCAAGACGGCCUGGAUGACUCCAUGCCUCCCCCCUCCUCCCCGCCCGCUGUCCCCUCCGCGCGCCACGCUUACGCAAAGCUAAAAAACCAAGCCUCCAAAGUCUCCUGGGGCAGCAGCGUUUCUAGGCAGGUUACUCCUAUAACUGCAAACAUUGUAGAAACGAAUGACAUUAGUAUUGUACUUUUAGAUGCGGUGCACUCAUCUGCUCUCUCUCCUCCUCACCUUCAGCUGUAUGACAGAUGAGACAAUGCUCGGCUCCAGGCAGCUGACCCAGGAAGAGCUGGACGAGCCUCCCACUGUGCUGCCUGCUGCUGACCAGCUCAGACGGAGACUUCUGAGAACAGCCAACGUCGACCUGACCGCCGUUGAGACUGAUGAACUUUCACCAAGGUGAGGGAGAAUUCUUUGGUGACGGACAGUAACUAAUUUUACUGUCUUGAAGUUAAACUAUCCCUGUCUCUUUCCUUGUUUCAAAGCUGUGAAGAUGGCGCCCCUCAAAAGGAAGACCAUGAACAAGAAGAAGAUGAGGAGGACACGGAGGGUGAGACGAAACAUGAGAAAGAACAAGAAGAGAAAGAGGAAGAGAACAAAGAGGAACAACAAGAGGAGGAUUAUGAGGUGGAGAGAGAAGAGAUGAACAGGGAAAUACAGUGGAGAGAAGAAGAUGAGUGCGCUGAUGACGCAGAUUGCAUCUCAUUGGGCUUCAGGGAGAGCGAUGGAGAGAGAAGCCUGGACCUCGCAGAAUCUCCCAGACCUCUGAGUCAGGAAACGAGGAACCUCACUGCCAGUGAGCUGCUGCUUAACAAGUCAGUAGACACAAGAAACAUAUCACUUGAGAACAAGAUGUUCUAUGUUUUGUGAGAGAGAAACAAGCUGCUGUGAGACAUUGUGACUUUCCAACCUCUAACCUCUCUUUUCUUCUCUCCAUUCAUUCUAUAGCAUAUUUGAAAAUGAUGAGAUCUCAGACUCCGAUAAGUUUUUUGGGACAU
rnacentral:lncRNA from 15 species